UAAUACAUGCAAGUCGAACGAGACCUUCGGGUCUAGUGGCGCACGGGUGCGUAACGCGUGGGAAUCUACCCUUGGGUUCGGAAUAACAGUUGGAAACGACUGCUAAUACCGGAUGAUGACGAAAGUCCAAAGAUUUAUCGCCCAGGGAUGAGCCCGCGUAGGAUUAGCUAGUUGGUGAGGUAAAGGCUCACCAAGGCUACGAUCCUUAGCUGGUCUGAGAGGAUGAUCAGCCACACUGGGACUGAGACACGGCCCAGACUCCUACGGGAGGCAGCAGUAGGGAAUAUUGGACAAUGGGGGCAACCCUGAUCCAGCAAUGCCGCGUGAGUGAUGAAGGCCUUAGGGUUGUAAAGCUCUUUUACCCGAGAUGAUAAUGACAGUAUCGGGAGAAUAAGCUCCGGCUAACUCCGUGCCAGCAGCCGCGGUAAUACGGAGGGAGCUAGCGUUGUUCGGAAUUACUGGGCGUAAAGCGCACGUAGGCGGCGAUUUAAGUCAGAGGUGAAAGCCCGGGGCUCAACCCCGGAACUGCCUUUGAGACUGGAUUGCUAGAAUCUUGGAGAGGCGGGUGGAAUUCCGAGUGUAGAGGUGAAUUCGUAGAUAUUCGGAAGAACACCAGUGGCGAAGGCGGCCCGCUGGACAAGUAUUGACGCUGAGGUGC
rnacentral:rRNA from 1 species